GCCACAGUUUGAGAACCACCGAGAAAACAAGCGUAUGGGAGACGCACCUACCAGUCGGAGCUAAGAAAACACUCUCCAUUUUCAAAAAGAGUCACGUAAACACAAGGCCGCCAAUAAUAACGAUUACGAUUAUUCCGAGCCAUACAAACAAGUGGUAUUCUUCACCUAUUGGAUUGCAGACAGAAGGGGUAUUAUGUGAGUUUUCAAGAUUAGCUGUCCUCAGUGGAGGGACACUUUCAUGCCUGGGGAUGAGAGGACUGCAUGAGGUUUCUGAAGGCAUUUGAGAGGUGCAGAGUCAGAGAGUUUGGCUUUGACGGCGUGAACCAGAAGGACCGACCGUCUCUGGGCCUCGUGAGGAGCCUGAUGGAAGGUGGGUUUCAGACGCUGUGGGCAGUGAUGGCUGAGGGUCUAGGUGUAAGCUUGGGGCUCUUCCGGAGUUGGGGGUGAGGACAGACCGUCCGGGCCGUGUCCCUCUCCCGGGCACCGCCGGCCA